UACGGAGGAUCCAAGCGUUAUCCGGAUUUAUUGGGUUUAAAGGGUGCGUAGGCGGCCUAUUAAGUCAGGGGUGAAAGACGGUGGCUCAACCAUCGCAGUGCCCUUGAUACUGAUGGGCUUGAAUGAACUAGAGGUAGGCGGAAUGUGACAAGUAGCGGUGAAAUGCAUAGAUAUGUCACAGAACACCGAUUGCGAAGGCAGCUUACUAUGGUUUUAUUGACGCUGAGGCACGAAAGCGUGGGGAUCAAACAGGAUUAGAUACCCUGGUAGUCCACGCCCUAAACGAUGAAUACUCGCUGUUAGCGAUAUACAGUUAGCGGCUAAGCGAAAGCGUUAAGUAUUCCACCUGGGGAGUACGCCCGCAAGGGUGAAACUCAAAGGAAUUGACGGGGGCCCGCACAAGCGGAGGAGCAUGUGGUUUAAUUCGAUGAUACGCGAGGAACCUUACCCGGGCUUGAAAGUUAGUGAAUGAUUUAGAGAUAGAUCAGUGAGCAAUCACACGAAACUAGGUGCUGCAUGGCUGUCGUCAGCUCGUGCCGUGAGGUGUUGGGUUAAGUCCCGCAACGAGGCGCAACCCCUAUGUUUAGUUGCCAGCACGUUAAGGUGGGGACUCAAAACAGACUGCCUGUGCAAACAGAGAGGAAGGAGGGGACGACGUCAAG
rnacentral:rRNA from 1 species